UAUACCCCACGUUUCCCGCUUGACUUAAAUAAUAAUCUCAAACACGACAAGGAAGGGCUUUUAUCUAUGUCCAGAAGAGACCAAGAAGCUUCUAAUUCUUGUUUUGUGAUCACAUUGGAAGCUGAUCCUAGUCUUGACAGCUCUCAUGUGGUCUUUGGGAAGCUUGUGGGAGGAUUAGAUACUCUACGAGCAAUUAGAGAUCAUGAUUUCUUUCCGCCGGUUUAAAUAAUCGAUAGUGGUGUUUUAUAUAAUCGUAAGCUUUAUUUUGACCAUUUUAGUUCUAUGGAAAACCAUAAUUUCAUGUGAGAUCAUUCAAAAACUUGUUGCAGCCAGAAAUAUUCCUCGUGACGUGAUUAUGAGGCCUUAUCGGUCUUCUGAUGCGGUGUCUUUUGAUACUAUGUCUUCUGAGGGGGAGCAGGAGGAUGAAGAUAGUGCG